rnacentral:rRNA from 1 species
GGGGAAUAUUGGACAAUGGGCGAAAGCCUGAUCCAGCAAUGCCGCGUGAGUGAUGAAGGCCUUAGGGUUGUAAAGCUCUUUUACCCGGGAUGAUAAUGACAGUACCGGGAGAAUAAGCUCCGGCUAACUCCGUGCCAGCAGCCGCGGUAAUACGGAGGGAGCUAGCGUUGUUCGGAAUUACUGGGCGUAAAGCGCACGUAGGCGGCUUUUCAAGUCAGGGGUGAAAUCCCGGGGCUCAACCCCGGAACUGCCCUUGAAACUGGGAAGCUAAAAUCCUGGAGAGGCGAGUGGAAUUCCGAGUGUAGAGGUGAAAUUCAUAUAUAUUCGGAAGAACACCAGUGGCGAAGGCGACUCGCUGGACAGGUAUUGACGCUGAGGUGCGAAAGCGUGGGGAGCAAACAGGAUUAAAUACCCUGGUAGUCCACGCCGUAAACGAUGAUGACUAGCUGUCCGGGUUCACAGAACUUGGGUGGCGCAGCUAACGCAUUAAGUUAUCCGCCUGGGGAGUACGGUCGCAAGAUUA